rnacentral:rRNA from 1 species
UACGAAGGGUGCAAGCGUUACUCGGAAUUACUGGGCGUAAAGCGUGCGUAGGCGGUUUGUUAAGUCCGUUGUGAAAGCCCUGGGCUCAACCUGGGAAUUGCAGUGGAUACUGGCGAGCUAGAGUGCGGUAGAGGAUGGUGGAAUUCCCGGUGUAGCGGUGAAAUGCGUAGAGAUCGGGAGGAACACCCGUGGCGAAGGCGGCCAUCUGGACCAGCACUGACGCUGAGGAGCGAAAGUGUGGGGAGCGAACAGG